GGGGCGUGGUCACAAAGGGGCGUGGUCACAAAUGGGCGGGGUCACAAAGAGAGGUCAUGGAAGGGGUUGGGUCAACAGGCAAUGAGCACUGAGGGUUGGCCAAGGAGUUGGGUGUGGCCAAAGGGGCGUGGCCAAGUUGGGUGUGGUCAUGGAUGGGCGUGGCCAGUUAAGGUGUGGUCACAGUGGGUGUGGUCUUUGGGGCGUGGCCCAGAAGGGGAGUGGCCCAAAUGGAUCCAAUGGGUCACGACUGCGUAGGCCAAGUUGGGCGUGGUCAAGUUGGGUGUGGCCACUCCACAAGCACAAAGUGGGCGUGGCCUGUAAGGGUGUGACCAAUGGGCGUCACCAAAGGCGUGGCCACACCCAACAUGACCCACUGACCAUUGGCUAACCCUUGACCAACACAGGGGGCGUGGCCAUUGAGAAUUGGCCAAGUUGGGCGUGGCCAAGAAGGGGUGUGGCCAAUGAACAGUCAUGAGGUGGGCGUGGCCUGUAAGGGGGUGACCAAUGGGCGUGGCUAAAGGUGUGGCCACACCCAACAUGACCCAUUGACCGUUGGCCAACACGCCCCGACCCAACCCUUGGCCAACACAGGGGCGUGGCCAAGAAGGGGUGUGGCCAAUGAACAGCCACGAAGUGGGUGUGGCCAAGGGCCUCACAACCACCAGGCCCCGUCCACCAUGACCCAUUGACCAUUGGCCACCGCCCAACCCUUGACCAACACAGGGGGCGUGGCCAUUGGGCGUUGGCCAAGUUGGGCAUGGCCAAGAAGGGGUGUGGCUAAUAAACAGUCAUGAGGUGGGCGUGGCCUGUAAGGGGGUGACCAAUGAACAGCCAUGAGGUGGGCGUGGCCAAGCACCUCACAACCACCAGCCCCCACCCACCAUAACCCAUUGACCAUUGGCCACCACCCAACCCUUGACCAACACAGGGGCGUGGCCAUUGAGCGUUGGCCAUGUUGGGCGUGGCCAAGAAGGGGUGUGNUGUGUCUGUCCAUGUCCCCACGUCCAUGUCCGUGUGUCUGUCCAUGUCCUCACGUCCAUGUCCGUGUGUCUGUCCCCAUGUCCCUGUGUCUGUCCAUGUCCAUGUCCGUGUGUCUGUCCAUGUCCCCAGCCAUGUCCCCGUGUCCGUGUGUCUGUCCAUGUCCCCAUGUCCCCAUCCCUGUGUCCCCAUCCCUGUCCCUGUGUCCAAGUCCAUGUCCGUGUGUCUGUCCCCAUCCCUGUCCCGGUGUCCAUGUCCCCAUGUCCCCGUGUCCCCAUCAGUGUCCCCAUUGGUGUCACACUCACGCAGCCCGGUGGACUCCAUGCGCGACGCCGUGUUCACCGUGUCCCCGAACAGGCAGUACCGCGGCAUCUUCAGCCCCACCACGCCCGCACACACCGGGCCUGGGGACACCUGGGUGUCACCGCUGGGGUGCCACUCCCGUCCCCAUUCCCAUUCCUGUCCCCAUUCCCAUUCCCAUUCCCAUUCCCGUUCCCAAUCCCAUCCCCAUUUCCCAUUCCCAUCCCUGUUCCUGUUCCCACCAGUGUGGAUGCCGAUGCGCAGCUCCAUUUCCCAUUUCCAUUCCCAAUCCCAUUUCCCAUUCCCAUUUCUCCGUUCCCAUCCCCAUCCCCAUUCCCACCAGUGUGGAUACCAAUGCCCAUUCCCCAUCCCCAUUUCCCAGUUCCCAUUCCCAUUCCCAUUUCCCAUUUCCCCAUCCCUGUUCCCAUUCCCAUCCCCAUGACCGUUCUCACCGGUGUGGAUACCAAUGCCCAUUCCCCAUUCCCAUUUCCCAGUUCCCAUUCCAUUUCCCAUCCCUGUCCCCAUCCCCAUUCCCAUUCCUAUUUCCCAAUCCCAUCCCCAUUCCCACCACUGUGGAUUCCCAUCUCCAUUCCCAUUCCCCCAUCCCCGUUCCCAUUCCUGUCCCCAUUUCCCUGUUCCCAUUUCCACCAAUGUGGAUGCCAAUGCCCAUUCCUGUUCCCCAUUCCCAUUUCCCGUACCCAUUCCCAUUCCCAUUCUCAUUCCCGUUCCCAAUUCCGUUCAUCCCCACCGGUGUGGAUGCCAAUGCCCAUUCCCAUUUCUCAUUCCCACCAGUGUGGAUUCCCAUCUCCAUUCCCAUUUCCAAUCCCAUUCCCAUCCCCAUUUCCCCGUUCCCAAUCCCAUUUCCAAUCCCAUUCCCAUCCCCAUUUCCCCAUUCCCAUUUCCCCAUUCCCAUUUCCCCAUUCCCAAUCCCAUUUCCAUCCCCAUUUCCCCGUUCCCAAUCCCAUUUCCAAUCCCAUCCCCAUUUCCCCAUUCCCAAUCCCAUUCCCAUCCCCAUUUCCCCAUUCCCAAUCCCAUUUCUCCCAUUCCCAUUCCCAUUUUUCCCGUUCCCAUUCCCGUUCAUCCCCACCGGUGUNCCACCCAUGGACUCAUUUCAGGGGUCACCUCCCGCCUCAAAAUCCUCUCUGGAUGUCAUCCCUCAUCUGGGGACUCUUUUUGGGGGUCACCUCCCACCCAUGGACCAUUUUAGGGUGUCACCUCACAUCUGGGGGAUCUUUUUCAGGGGUCACCUCCCAGCUGGGGACUCUUUUUGGGAGUCAUCUCCCACCCAUGGACCAUUUUCAGGGGUCAUCUCCCACCCAUGGACCCUUUUCGGGGGUCACCUCCCGCCUCAAAAUCCUCUCUGGAUGUCAUCCCUCAUCUGGGGACCCUUUUUGAGGGUCACCUCCCACCCAUGGACCCUUUUCAGGGGUCACCUCCCACCCCUGGCUCCUUUCUAGGGGUCAUCUCCCACCCAUGGCCUCAUUUCGGGGGUCACCUCCCGCCUCAAAAUUCUCUCUGGAGGUCAUCCCUCAUCUGGGGACUCUUUUUGGGGGUCACCUCUCACCCAUGGACCAUUUUAGGGUGUCACCUCACAUCUGGGGACCUUUUUCAGGGGUCACCUCCCAGCUGGGGACUCUUUUUGGAGGUCAUCUCCCACCCACAGACUCUUUUUGAAGGUUACCUCCCAUCUAGGGACUUUUUGGGGGUCAUCUUCCAUCUCAGGACCCUUUUUGGGAGUCAUCUCCCAUCCAUGGACUCUUUUCAGGGGUCACCUCCCAUCCAUGGACUCUUUUCAGGGGUCACCUCCCACCUCAAAAUCCUCUCUGGAUGUCAUCCCUCAUCCAGGGACCCUUUUUGAGGGUCACCUCCCACCCAGGGACCUUCUCUGGAUGUCACCCCUCAUCUGGGGACCCUUUCCGAUGGUCAUCACCCACCCAGGAACCCUUUUUGGGGGUCACCUCCCACCCAGGGACCCUCUCUGGAUGUCACCCCUCAUCUGGGGACCCUUUCCGAUGGUCACCACCCACCCAGGAACCCUUUUUGAGGGUCACCCCUCACCCAGGGACCCUCUCUGGAGGCCACCCCUCAACUGGGGACUCUUCCUUGGGGUCACCACCUACUCAGGAACCCUCUCUGGAUGCCACCCCUCAUCUGAGGACCCUUUCUGAUGGUCACCACCCACCCAGGGGCCCUCUCCGGGGGUCCCUGGUGGCACCUGUUGAANUGUCCCCAAUGUCCCCACGGUGUCCCCAGGUGUCCCCAGUGUCCCCAUGGUGUCCCCAAUGUCCCCAAUGUCCCCAUGGUGUCCCCAAGUGUCCCCAAGUGUCCCCACAGUGUCCCCAAGUGUCCCCAUGGUGUUCCCACCCGCUCACCCUCCCCGUUGGACUCCAUGCGUGACGCCGUGUUCACGGUGUCCCUGUGGUGUCCCCAAUGUCCCCAAGGUGUCCCCACAGUGUC
rnacentral:lncRNA from 1 species